UGGGGAAUUUUGCACAAUGGGGGAAACCCUGAUGCAGCGACGCCGCGUGAUUUAGAAGGCCUUCGGGUUGUAAAAAUCUUUUCUAUGGGAAGAAAAUGACAGUACCAUAGGAAUAAGGACCGGCUAAUUACGUGCCAGCAGCCGCGGUAAUACGUAAGGUCCGAGCGUUGUCCGGAAUCAUUGGGCGUAAAGGGUACGUAGGCGGGUAAGCAAGUUAGGAGUGAAAUCCUAUAGCUCAACUAUAGUAAGCUUUUAAAACUGCUCAUCUUGAGGUAUGGAAGGGAAAGUGGAAUUCCUAGUGUAGCGGUGAAAUGCGCAGAUAUUAGGAGGAAUACCGGUGGCGAAGGCGACUUUCUGGCCAUAACCUGACGCUGAGGUACGAAAGCGUGGGUAGCAAACAGG
rnacentral:rRNA from 1 species